GGAGGGGGGAACAACUGGGAAAUUGUAACCAGGAAUCCAAGGCAAAUGGUGCAAUCAAAAGAAUCUUAACAGCACAGUGUUUGCCUAGUGGUUAAGGUUUGGAGCAGAGAAUUUUAGAUUCCUACUCAACCCUGGAACCAUUGGGUGAUUUGCGACCAUUUACUCUCUUUCAAUCCAACCUCUCUCACAGAGUCAAGUGACAGGAAAUCCACCUGUAUGCUGUAGGAGCGCUCAGGAGAAAGAUGGGAUAGAAAUGUGAACGAAUGAAUAAAUGAAUGACAUCAGCAGCAGCAGCAGGAACAGCUGUGAAAAAUGAGUCACGUGACAAGAUUUUAUUUUUCUGCUCCUUUUCUUCCCAUGAUAGCCUCAUUCUUGAAUGCUGAAACAAGCAUUUUUCCAUUAUGAACAACAUGAGGCUCCUGGCGAGGGAUUUUAAAAAGGUACUAAAGUUCUUGGUUAUACGAAUUUUAAUGAAUCAAUCAUAAAUUUUCUAUAAUAAUGAACUUGACUACCUCAAGUACAAGGUCAGCCAGAAUUGGAUGCCUGUGUCUUGAGGUGCAGAACUAUGUGCAAGAUUGCAACUGUCUGGGUAGCAAAAAUAAUUCAGAUAUUCAUUACGGGCAUGCUAAUUACUAGCAGAUACUAAGUCACGCUUUCCCUUUUUCUCAAGCUUCAUGUGGGUCCUGAAGCUCACUCCGAAGAAACUGGUUACCUUCCUAGAAGGGGAGAAUCUCAGAAUCCUAGAGAUGCUGGCCAAGACAAUGGAUGAUGCAAUACAUCUAAAUCUGAAGCAUUACACCCUUUGGAAAUGUUAAGCAGAAGAGUGAUAUUUUUAAAGGAGGGGACUAGCUUAAGUCUGGACUCUCAUUAAUGGUAGAUUUAACUAAGACCAUUGUUUGAAGUCAACACGAUUAAGACAGCUUGUUCAAAGCUUCUUCAUAAAGGAGUGUGGUCUAACAUGGCUGUUUGAAGCAGCAGCUGGAAAAUUGUGACAUCAUCUCUGUUACCACUAACUCUCCCGAGAGGACUCCGUGCCAUGCAAAGGGCACCAAAAAGGGAUUAGAGGAAAGAUUACACAAGGCUGGUAAGAUGUCCCAUUUAUGCAGAAGGUUGGCCAAGCUGGUUCUAGCAAAGCCACUCUAUCAUCCAACAUCAUGAAUCCGAUAAUAGCCCUGUGGGUUGCCAGAGCAAAAUGAAACAGUUUCAAGGGUCAUUAUUAUUACUGGGCCUUCAGACAUAUUUAUUCAUCCCUUAAAUUAUUUCCCUGUGCCAGUUCGCAAAAUAUUGUUGCUUGGCUGUUUCCCUAGCAAUUAUAGGAUCUUGCUAGGUUAGCGUAUAUGAGAAGUCUGUUUUGUUUUCUAGUCUAGGCAGGACUUAAGAAAUCCUGUUCAUAAAACAUUAUUUGCCCAAACAAAUGAUUGCUUAAUACAACUAUCUGAUCCCUACCACAGUGAGCCACCAACCAUCCAGUCCUGUCAAGUAUGUUUUGCGAAUUAAACCUAAACAUGGAAGAAAACUAGAGGCACAUGGAAGAAGGUGAGAGACUCUCCAUCCCAAUUGCUUGAAUUUUACAAAAAAAGGAGUGAAGAAAUACUGAAACCAUAUUUCUAACUGUAAUUACAGUUCAGUUACAACAAGGAAUCCUGACUCUGUAAGGAUUCUCUUCAGACCUUCUCUACUGACAGGGCAAGCCCAUCUCUAACUCUCCUCCAGGACUUGAAUUUGUUAAGAUGUUAUCUGACUAAGUCAUCUGUCUUAAUUUACAGAAUUUGGGCAUUUCAGAUAGUCCUCAAGUUCUGACUACAACGGAGCCCAAAAACAAGAUAGUCGUCGGUUGCAAUGUAUGGCUGUGAAAGUUGGACCAUAAGAAAGGCUGAGCGGAAAAGAAU